rnacentral:rRNA from 1 species
AUACGUAGGUGGCGAGCGUUGUCCGGAAUUAUUGGGCGUAAAGAGCGCGUAGGCGGGAAGAUAAGUCUUUUGUAAAAGUGCGGGGCUCAGCCCCGUAAGGCGGGAGAAACUAUCUUUCUUGAGUGCCGGAGAGGAAAGCGGAAUUCCCAGUGUAGCGGUGAAAUGCGUAGAUAUUGGGAGGAACACCAGUGGCGAAGGCGGCUUUCUGGACGGUGUCUGACGCUGAGGCGCGAAAGCCGGGGGAGCGAACGGGAUUAGAUCCCCCGGUAGUCCUGGCCGUAAACGAUGGGUACUAGGUGUGGGAGGUAUCGACCCCUUCCGUGCCGGAGUUAACGCAAUAAGUACCCCGCCUGGGGAGUACGGCCGCAAGGUUGA